UCUACGGGUGGCAGCAGUGGGGAAUAUUGGACAAUGGGGGAAACCCUGAUGCAGCGACGCCGCGUGAGUGAAGAAGUAUUUCGGUAUGUAAAGCUCCAUCAGCAGGGAAGCAGGAAGACGGUACCUGACUAAGAAGCCCCGGCUAACUACGGGCGAGCAGCCUCGGUACAUCGGAGGGGGCGAGGGUUUACCGGUUUUACUGGGAGUAACGGGAGCGUUGACGGCUGUGCAAGUCUGAAGUGAAAGGCCAGGGCUCAACCCUGGGACUGCUUGUGAAACUGUGGAGCUAGAGUGCUGGAGAGGUAAGUGGAAUUCCUAGUGGAGCGGUGAAAUGCGUAGAUAGUAGGAGGAACACCAGUGGCGAAGGCAGCUUACUGGACAGUAACUGACGUUGAGGCUCGAAAGCGUGGGGAGCAAACAGGAUUAGAUACCCCAGUAGUC
rnacentral:rRNA from 1 species